GCUCUUAUAGCUUCAUGGUAGAGCGCUGGCUUUGCACGCGACAGGUCUGUGGUUUAAUCCCACUCGAACCCA